AGCCCUCUGUAUCCGUGCUGAGAUUUCGUCAGAGAUCAAUCAGCUGGGGCUGAUGGUACUUCCCAAAUAAGUGAAGUU
rnacentral:pre_miRNA from 1 species